GCCAGCGCGGUCGGUUCCGCCCGACUCUAACAUGGCGGCGCCCUCUCUCUGUUCAGAAGUGCAGUCCCGCCUUCUCGCGGCCGUGACGCCCCUCACGCUGCGGUGGGGUCCGGGACAUGGCGGGUGAGGGUAAUGAUCUGGAGGAGGAGAGCCAAGCUGGAGUUUCCCCCGUCCAGCCGUCCAGAGUAGCCUGGGCUACUUGGAAAUCUGAGUAGGUCAUCCAGAGGACGUAAGACAUGGUGGCUACUAAUGGACUCUUUCCAUGGUGCUUCUUCAUGCCAUACUCCUGCAAGGACAGUGAUUAUCACAGCUUCUGUUGAACUUGAUCCGAUGGGCCUGAUAAUCUAUGUGAGCCUACUUCUGCUGACUCCAAAAGUCCUGAGUCUGCUGUUUGAUCCUCAAGACAAUACCUUCCUGUCCUGGGCUCACUCCUAUGCCACAUUCCACAAUUGGUCUAACUGCUGGGUCUGUGGAGCACUCCCCUCUUCAUCAGUGGAAGGCUUCCCAUGGUGGACAUCUCCACUUCAAGGAAAAGACUUUCUCCAAGUCUGCAAAUACCUUCAACAACAGCAACCAUAUGUGAUGCCUCUUCUUAAUCUGAUGACAUCUAAUAAUCCUAAUAUGGACUGGUGCAACACUUUGUACCUUAACUGUGGACAUAAUGUGACUUUUAACUUUGCUGAUUGUUCUGUUCUUGCUGUUUGCUCCCUGCAUCUGUAACUGUGAAGCUGGAUUUGUUUCUAGCUGCAUGAAGGCUUUUAAGUUACAAAUGGUUGCUCAAACUCCUGCCACUCCUCCAACUACUACUUGGGGCCCCUGGAUCAGAGACCCUCAAUAUGAGGGUUAGGAGAAUAUGUUGCCUCACCAAUUUAGAGAUGAUGCCCCUUUCCUUAGGCAACAUAAUUCUCCUAAAAGAAAAGGGGGGAAUGAGAGGGUAACAGGUAGGAAGGCCUAGGGGUCUCCAAAUGGAGGAAAUAAACUACAAGUGUCAGAUUUUUGGCUUCCCUGAUAGCUCAGUUAGUGAAGAAUCCCCCUGCAAUGCGGGAGACCCCGGUUCAAUUCCUGGGUUGGGAAGAUCCCCUGGAGAAGGGAAAGGAUACCCACUCCAGUAUUCUGGCUUGGAGAAUUCCAUGGACUGUAUAGUCCAUGGGGUCACAAAGAAUCGGACACGACUGAGCAACUUUAAAUGUAAAUGUAAAAUGCAAAUUUAAAAAGAGGUUUCUUUAAAAUUCUGUGUUGCCAUGAUGGCCCCUGGUUCCGCCUGAACUUAACUUUUCUCAAACCUUGAGCUAACCAAUGCAUUUUUCUUAUGGAAAUGUUUUUCUUAAGCUAUGUUAAUGAACUAUGUAUUUACCCUAGAUUCUGUCUUUCUUCAAGUCAGUUCCGCCUAAGACUCAGAACUGACUUGACAAACCAGUGUGUUUUACGCAUGCAAAUGUUCUCUUAAGCUAUGUCAAUGAGACUAUGUUUUUGCUUGGAAGCCUGUCUUUCUUCAGGAUUCAUGUUGAUCGUUUAUGGCCAGGACAGCUCACCUUGGGCCAGUGUUAUAUGUGAGUGAGAGGCCUGGUGCCAGCCUCUGCGUUUUGAGACAUUGCCUUCCUCUAAUCAGCAGCCUGCUAGUAGCUGUGUAUCACCUGGCUAAAGACUAGCAGGGGGCACUCUUUCUGCCCCUUUCUGAUGUCUGUGUCAGAAGCUUUCUCUAUCUCUUUUGUACUUUAAUAAAACUGUAUUACACAAAAACUGUGAGCGAUCAAGCCUCGUCACUGGCCCAGGAUUGAAUUCCUGUCUGGAGGCCAAGAAUCCCGGCAUUGUUCACAGCUCAGCAACAACCUUUCAUCUACCAUUGGGCUAUUGUGAAUAAUGUUGCUAGGAAUAGUUGUGUACCAGUUGUUGUUUGAACAGCUGUUUUCAGUUAUUGACAUGUGUAUCCAAGAGCAGAGAAAUAAACAAUUGGUGAAAUAAA